CCUACGGGUGGCAGCAGUGGGGAAUAUUGGACAAUGGGGGCAACCCUGAUCCAGCCAUGCCGCGUGUGUGAAGAAGGCCCUCGGGUUGUAAAGCACUUUCAGUGAGGAAGAACGCCUGGUGGUUAAUACCCAUCAGGAAAGACAUCACUCACAGAAGAAGCACCGGCUAACUCCGUGCCAGCAGCCGCGGUAAUACGGAGGGUGCGAGCGUUAAUCGGAAUUACUGGGCGUAAAGCGCGCGUAGGUGGCUUGAUAAGCCGGUUGUGAAAGCCCCGGGCUCAACCUGGGAACGGCAUCCGGAACUGUCAAGCUAGAGUGCAGGAGAGGAAGGUAGAAUUCCCAGUGUAGCGGUGAAAUGCGUAGAGAUCGGGAGGAAUACCAGUGGCGAAGGCGGCCUUCUGGACUGACACUGACACUGAGGUGCGAAAGCGUGGGUAGCAAACAGGAUUAGAUACCCGGGUAGUC
rnacentral:rRNA from 1 species